CAGCUGCAUCAGACUGUGCCCUGUGUCCUGUUGGCAUGUCCCCAUGCUUCGUCCCUGGAGUGAACUACAACCUGGGACUUCCAGAGGCGGCUAUGGUUAGGCAGGGAGCAGCCAGUGUUCUGGAGUAGACCCAGACAUAAACCUAAUUCUUGAUUUGAGAACAGUGGCUCCUCUGAACUGGCUUGAUAAUGUGUUACCAGCCGGGGCGAGUCAGCCAUAGAGGGGCCUGGCAAUCCUUCUGCCCUGCAGAUUCUUUGACUCCUUCUUUUCUUUCUGUUGCUUUUGUUUGCCUAGUUGAGACAGGACCUCACUAUGAAGCCCAGGCUAGGCUUGAGUGAGAUCCCUCUGCCUCAGCCCUGCAGGGUGCUGGAUCCGGGAAUGUGCAGGCUCCUUACCGUUUGGAAGGAGGAAUUCUGCAGGGCUCAGAGCCGCAGGUGUUCCAUCCACCCUUCAGCUGCUCUUCCUGUGGAUGAGACCCAGAGAAAUGGGAAGAUCAACUGGGCAGCAAGUGUCAAUCACCUACUGAAUGUCACUGCUCCUCGCGGCGUCACCAGAACAGACCGUUGUAUGAAUAAGAAUGACGUCUGCGAGCACCUGCCGUGCUCCACUGAUUGUAUGGGAUGCUCCUGGGAUUGGGCCAAGAGGUUCAACUCCAGCACCAGAGGGAGCAGGAUGCCAGGAGAGGCCAGCUUUGCAAACCCCCAACCCCCCGGGUUCUCAGUGGCGGAAGACUGAGUGUACAGGGACCAAGGUGGCUUGUGGUUGAGCUGAGACCACUGCACUUGGAGCAUCUGUAGCUCCAGACCCCUUCGCUUUCCUGACUCUACGGAUGAGGUGAUUCACACUUGUCCUAUUCUGUCUUCAUGGAGUCAAGGAUGCACUUAGCACCCGUAUUAGUCUAUUCUGGCUCCGAGAAGAGCAUGCUGUAGACUGGGUGGCUUCUAAACAACAGACCUUGAUCUCUUGGCUGUGAAGGCUGACAAGUUCAAGAUCAAGAGAUUCAGUGUCUCACAAAGGCCAGCUUCCGAUGACUUCUUCUCAUCAUGUCCUCCCAUGCCCGAGGGACGGAGUCUUCGGGUCUCAUUCACAAGGGCACUAUCCCCAGGGUCUAGUCAGCUCCCAAAGGUCUGCUUCCUGAUCCCAUCACACCACGGACCAGGAUUGCAACCUUUGAUUGGAAGGUGGGGCAUAAAUAUCCAGUCACUGACAACACCCUUCCAGAGCCCUUAGGAUUCAAAAUGAUAAGUGAAUUCUCCAUUCUGGAACUGACACCACCUUCUGGAAAGAAAUAUACAGAAAGAGAAAGUAUACUAGUGUCAAGAAGAGAACGUCCCUGCUUUCCCAAAGAUAUACAAGUGGCCAUCUCAGCGGCUCUAGAUUCUAGAUCAUAGCACAGUGGAUAUGUUUGCUUAUAAAGAUAUUUUGAUCUUUUAGUUUAUGACUCAAAUGGAUUGCCAGAGUGGGGAUGAGGAGACCAAAAACAUGUCUAAGGCUCUUAGAACAUCUUUUCAAAUUGCCUUCCAAAUGGGUCAGAUUAAUUUUCAUCUUAUUCGGGAUCGGUACUGGCUGGUUUUGUGUGUCAACUUGACACAAGCUGGAGUUAUCACAGAGAAAGGAGCCUCCCCUGAGGAAAUGCCUUCAUGAGAUCCAGCUGUAAGGCAUUUUCUCAAUUAGUGAUGGUGGGGUGGGGGGGCGGGAAGGACCCCUGGUGGCUGGUGCCAUCCCUGGGCUGGUAGUGCUGGGUUCUAUAAGCAAGCAAGCUGAGCAAGCCAGGGGAAGCAAGCCAGUAAGUAACAUUCCUCCAUGGCCUCUGCAUCAGCUCCUGCCUCCAAGUUCCUGCCCUGUGUGAGUUCCUGUUCUGACUUCCCUUGGUGAUGAACAGCAGUGUGGAAGUGUAAGCUGAAUAAACCUUUUCCUCCCC
ensembl:lincRNA Gm44783 predicted gene 44783